GAUCAUGGCUCAGAACGAACGCUGGCGGCGCGUCUUAAGCAUGCAAGUCGAACGGCAAGAGGUAGCAAUACCUCCUAGAGUGGCGGACUGGUGAGUAACACGUGGGUGACAUACCCUUCAGAUGGGGAUAGCUAUUAGAAAUAGUAGAUAAUACCGAAUACGAGCACAGGGGGUUAGAGAUCUGUGAGGAAAGGAGCUAAGGCUCCGCUGAAGGAAUGGCCUGCGGCCCAUUAGCUAGUUGGUGAGGUAAGAGCCCACCAAGGCGAUGAUGGGUAUCCGGCCUUAGAGGGUGAACGGACACAUUGGGACUGAGAUACGGCCCAGACUCCUACGGGAGGCAGCAGCUAAGAAUAUUCCGCAAUGGACGAAAGUCUGACGGAGCGACGCCGCGUGGAUGAAGAAGGCCGGAAGGUUGUAAAAUCCUUUUGAAACUGAAGAAUAAGCGUUGUAGGGAAUGACAGCGUGGUGACAGUAGGUUUUGAAUAAGCAACGGCUAAUUACGUGCCAGCCGCUGC
rnacentral:rRNA from 1 species